UUUAGGAAGUUUAUGUCAAGUACAAGCAAGUUGUAGUAAGCCUUAAUGUAGCUAAUCGGACACUUAAUUAAAAGCGGAGAUCUACCACAGCUAAGUGGAGUUUUAUUAAAUCAUAGCAAACACUUAUUAGGUAUCCGCUGAUGCUUAUUGAGU